rnacentral:rRNA from 1 species
AUUGAACGCUGGCGGCAUGCCUUACACAUGCAAGUCGAACGGUAACGGGCCUUCGGGUGCCGACGAGUGGCGAACGGGUGAGUAAUACAUCGGAACGUGCCCGAUCGUGGGGGAUAACGAGGCGAAAGCUUUGCUAAUACCGCAUACGAUCUACGGAUGAAAGCAGGGGACCGCAAGGCCUUGCGCGGACGGAGCGGCCGAUGGCAGAUUAGGUAGUUGGUGGGAUAAAAGCUUACCAAGCCGACGAUCGGUAGCUGGUCGGAGAGGAUGAUCAGCCACACUGGGACUGAGACACGGCCCAGACUCCUACGGGAGGCAGCAGUGGGGAAUUUUGGACAAUGGGCGCAAGCCUGAUCCAGCCAUGCCGCGUGCAGGAUGAAGGCCUUCGGGUUGUAAACUGCUUUUGUACGGAACGAAAAGCCUUCUUUUAAUACAGGAGGGUCAUGACGGUACCGGAAGAAUAAGCACCGGCUAACUACGUG